rnacentral:lncRNA from 1 species
GGCAAAACGUCCGCCCGGGCCCGAGGCGGGCGGAGGCAGCUGUGGUUACGUGCGGGGGGCCGGUGACGCAGUCGCGGGGCGCUGGGACGCGGCUUGCGGAGCCGGCCGGCGAGCGCAGGCCCCAGGCUCGGGCGCGGCGGCGGGACAGCACCUACCUUCCCGGCUUCGGGUCCGGGAGUGCGGGGCGCGGAGCCGCCGGAGCGCUGCCUCCCUCCUUCCUCCUCCCCUCGCCCCCGCCCCGCGGCGCGACACACAAUACUCGCCGGAAGCGGAAGCCGCGCCGAGGCUCGUGUAAAAGUCUUGCAGUGAAAAACCCGAGGACCCUUACCGCAAGUGUCUUUUGCUCCCAGCUACUGAUACUGGAUUCCACUCGUGAUUCUCCCUUUCUUAGCGCAUUCAUGAUAUAGACAUCAGUCUCUGAGCUGGAGGAGGACAAAGGCAGCGGUCCUGUGAAUUCUAUGCUCUAGCUUGGGUUAAGGGAUUUGGAAUUGCACUUGUUUCAGAGAGCUCCCUCUUUGCCCACUAGCAGGGCAUUAGCUGGUGCUGAAGACAGUGGCUGCUUGGCGAGCCUGGAUCUCCAAGUGACCCCCUCAGCAACUCCUGAUGAACAGGACUGAAGCCAAUAUUAAAGCAAGUCAACCAAAGGUUCUCUGGUGUAGACAAGACAGCAAAAGGACAGACUACCUUGUGGAACCUAGCAUUGUUCUCCUUCUGCAGCACUAAGUAACAUUUGUUCUCCGUUAAGAUCUUUGCAAACCACACACAAGAAUUGCUGGUCAUCCUGCCAAUAGAUGCUGCUCACAGAACCAAAUUUCCUGUGCUGAAUUGUCACUCAUGGGCUUGAGAGUAGGAGACUGGAGACCAAGGUGGCUAGAAUCCAGUUGGGCCUGAUGUCUCCCUGUUGAAAGGGCUCCUUGUGGAAUGAAUAGCACAUGGCUCCUGUGGUGGAUCUGAUAGUGGCAUAGCACCAAGUGAUGCAGGCCUGCCAGGGGCCACAGACACAGAAGAUGCUCCCGGGGUCCCCCAUGUACUCCAGACACACUGCAGGCCACCUCUCCCAGCAGGUUGCCAGUCAUGGGCCCCAUCAUCAUGACUUCUGUCCAAGGUACUGUGUGCAGAAAUGUGAUUGAGAUUCAAGUCAGGGCCUCUCUGCCCUUUUCCCUCCAGAAACAAAACCAAGAUAAUUUAUCCUGAACACGGUGAAAAAAGGAAGGGAGGGAGGAGAAAAAGUCCGGGUCUCACCUGGGAUUCUCUGUCUCCUGCAACAUGAAGGAUUUAGCCUGGGAGGAGGUGGUGAGAACUCUGGGAGAGAAAAAAGAAGGAAAGAAUAGUUUUACCCAUGCUGAAGUUAAUUUAAACCUUCACCUAGAGAAGCAAAAAAAAAAAACCCACACUUUCCCAUUUUGUGCCUCCCUUCCUAGAGUUUUAGCCAAAGGUUUAGCUAAGUAAUUGGUUUUACCAGCGCACUCACUCCUCCUAUCCCAAGUCUGUUUGACUCCCUCCCCAUCAUCCUCCUCACCUCUUUUCAGGCAGGGUGGGGAUAGCAGCAGGAGGAGAUUUUGGGAGCCUGGCAACUCCUGCAAGGACCGCAGGACAGCCCCUCUGUGGGGAUGCGUGGUGCCCCAUCUGCCGCCCUUCUGAAGAAUGCACUGCCUUCACUUUUUACUGUGUUAGAGUCCAUCCAGACUGUUCUAUCCAAAAAAGUUUCUUUUUCCCCCACAGGCAAUCAGGAAAUGAUUCCUUUCCCGACUGCUUCUGUCUAGUGCCUGGGAAUCUUGAGUCAAUCCCUCAGUAAGUCAGUGACUAGGGAAAUCCCUCUCUGAGCCUCCCAGUUCAUGUUGCUUAGGGAACCUGAUAUUUUCGUGAAACCUGCCUACACAUGGGCAGCCCAACAGCAGAACAAAUGGUGGUGACCAAAGUGAACAAAGAAGUAUAGUUGUGCCAGCUUCGUAGUUGCCCAUGUGGACAAGUCAGCAGGAUCAGGACACGAGGAAGAGUAAAUGUGAGACAGUCAAUGUGACUUCUGCGAUAAACAGAUUUUUAAACCCCGAAAUUUUGCAAAAUUUUGGUGAAACCUGAACUUUCUUCGUUGCAUAUACUGGCACUAUCUGUACCAUCAUACAACUGUCUCACAUUAAAGCUAUUUUUCUUGGGCACUGAUGAGUAAGGUUGGUAUAAGUUCCUCAGAUCAACAAAAACCCAUUUUCCUGUAAGUCUUACAUUUAGUAUUUAAGGAACUAAAACUUAAAUACAUUUUGUGAAAUGGUUGACACUUCACUGAUAAUGAUUUAUUGCUUGGAUUAAUAAAUUUUCCAAAAGUUGUCUUAUGUAGAAUAUGGUUUGCAACCAGCAGAACCAUUAAUCUAUACUGCAAUGAUAUGCACUAUGUAUAAUUGUUUAAAAGCCUCUACUUAAUGAUGUAAAAUGCUCUAUUUAAUUACACAUUUGGGUAAACUGUAUACUAACAUCUGAUGGCAUUUUUCCACUGUUUGUUGCUUUUUUCAAAUACUUUAUUGUACAAAGCUGUUCUUAAUAUUUUUCAAGUUUUUUUCUUUGAAUUUUGCUAAUGUUUUCCUUGAAUUAUGAGCACUGACAGAAUGUGCUUAGCACUUUUGGCUAUUCACACAGCUUUUGAGCAUGAUUUGCAUCCAAUAUUUACAUUGCUAGCAAUAAUAAGCCAUCUGUGAGUUUUGUCAAAAGUUAUUGGGGAUUUUUUAAAUUUUAGAAAUGCAAAUUAUUGUUUCUUUGAACUAACUCUUAUGCAGUUGCAAAGGCAUUUCCAGUUGUUAUAGUUUGUGUACAAUAUCAGGUGUUCCAGAUUAUGAUUCAUUAUUAAUAUCAUUGCUUCCUUGUUCCCUCUGAGGUCCAGAAGAUUCAUGUUUACAAUAUUUAGAAACAAUGUUAAAAAGGUAUCCAAAGUUUGUCACUUUAUUAUUAGUUUGUUCUUAAUAUUCUGUUUAAGUUUUUGAAUUCAUAGAUAUCAAAACGCUGCACAAUUAUGAUUUCCACAGGAAUAACAACACACUAACAAUAAGAACCAAAAACAGCAAAUAGGCUGCCUACAAGUUUUGACAAUAUUAGGAUAAUGAUAAUGACAGUUUUUCUAAAUCUCACAGUAAAGAAUGCAGCAACCCAGCAACACUGCUACCUGUGGCCUCAGGCUGCAGUGUCAGCUCUUCCCUGGGUCUCCAGCCUGCCAGUCUAACCUGAAAAUUAUGUACUUGCCAGCCCCCACAGUCACGUGAGUGAACUGGCCCAGGCUGGUCACCAGGGUCAGUUUCUCUGUGUGUCAUUAAUUCAUUCAGUCUUCAGCAGUCUCUUUGGAGCUGAGAUGUACCUACCAUCUGCCUUUUGGGUGCUUAGGGUGGAGAACCAGAAAAGUAUAACCUAGUGUGUAUCCUCAAAGAGCUAACAAUAUGGGGUGGUACCUAUAGGUCUGGAAACACUUUACUGACUCUGUGAGGCAUACCAGGAGACGUCAGAGAACAGUCCCUCCUCAAAUGCCAAAUGAGAUGCAGAAGAAAUAGUUUGCUCAAGUUCAUGGGCCAGAUAUCCCAGUGGUCAGGGAGUUUCAUGAAUGAGAUGGAACUUUGCAUGGAACCCGAGGGAUGUGUAUGAUUUGAGUAGAUGAAGAAAAUGAGACUUUCCAAGCAGCUAGAAGUUAGGGAGCAGCAAGAUGUGUGGUGGGAUUGAGCACAGUUGGUUCAGAGGAUAGACUGCAGUUUUAAUAAUUUGUAGUAAAUAUCUCCCAACUGUUUGGCACUAUUGGAGCAAGUUCUUGAAUGCCAAAUGAAGGCAUAAAUCAGUAAGAGGCAUAAUAAAAGGCUGAGCAGUGCUUGGCUUUUUACGAACUGAUCCUGAUAGGAGCAGCUGUUCAACAAAGUUGCCAGGUCACCGUUACAUAGUCCCUGCCUUCUAGGGGCUCACUGCCUACUGGGAGAGACAGUCUGAAAGUUGGUGGAGCAUGUAACUGUUGGAUGAGGAGUUUGAGCCUGUGGACUGUGGGACCCCCGAGGAGGGUGUGGCUACUCUAGGCAGAACAAUCCCACAGUUUAUUUAUAUUUAACCUUGAAAUUCAUUAGAGGAUUUUUCAGCAGAGGUUUGGUACUUGUUAAUGUUAAGGUUUGCAUUCUCUAGAACCUCAAGGAAAGCUGUACCGUGCAUAAUGUACCCUCUUAUGUUAAUGUUGUGUACUGUGAUCCUGUUUCAGGGACUUGCACUUAGGAAUCUGUUACAGUGAGCACAGAAGCAGACCUGUGGGCUCAUAGUCUUCACCCCCCACCCAUAUAUACAAGAUGAACAGAGUGGAGGUUAAACAACUUGACUAAACAACACAGUUCAUGGUAAAGCCCAAGACUGUACCUGCCCAUCCACUGCCUUUUCCAUGUAUCCUGGAACUGAGCAUAGACCUCUUCCCAGGCAGAGCUGACAGCAAGUAAAGGAGAUCAUAAUCAGGGGACCAAACAACUUUGUCUAAAGUGUGAAUGUCACCUAAGGAGAAGCUGUGAGAUCAGAAGGGUGGGGCAGAGGAGCAGACACCAUGAGGGAGAGUCCUUGGGGGUACAUCUGCCAGACUGACACUGUCUGGCCUGGGCAGUGGAGGGGCUAGCAGGAACCACAGGUACUGGUGGUGUGGCUACUACCGUUACAACUGCCUGUGCUUGGACAUGGACCCUCUGCAAUAUGCGGCAGUUUCAUUCAUUGCCCCCUACAUUCUACACCAAGUAGAAAUGGAAGGCAAUUGGAUACUUCACAGACAAGAUCUAAGUGGAGAAGGAAUGCGUCCUGUGGCUGCAGAGAUCCUUGGAGCUUGGAGGGGAGAGCUUGAGCCCCACUGAUGAUGACCUCCCACAGCUCGCCAACUCAGCCCUCCCUAAGUCCCCAUCGGGGGCCAAUUCUCACUCUGGGGUUGGGGGGACUCCACCAUAGCUCAUCCAUCAUAGGGAUGUUGGUAUCUACUGUGGGUUGGGUAGGGCCGAUGUGCUGAGGAUGGCUCCCCCACAAGCAAGAGAUGUGGAUUUGGGGAGCUUCCCAUCUUGUGUUGAAGGAACAUAACUCAGAAUAAUAAGAGCCAACUAUAACAAACCCACAGCCAACAUCAUACUGAAUGGGCAAAAGCUGCAGGCAUUCCCCUUGAAAAGUGGCACAGGAUAAGGAAGCCCUUUCUCACCACUCCUAUUCAAUAUAGUGUUGAAAGUCCUGAUCACAGCAGUCAGGCAACAGAAAUAAUAAAGGGCAUCCAAAUAGGAAGAGAGGAAGUCAAACUAUCCUUGUUUGCAGACAGUAUGAUUCUAUAUCUAGAAAACCCCAUAGCCUCAGCCCAAAAGGUCCUUCAUCUGAUAAUUUCAGCAAAGUUUCAGGAGACAAAAUCAGUGUACAAAAAUCACUAACAUUCCUAUACACAGUCGCCAAGCCAAGAGCCAAAUCAGGAGCACAAUCCCAUUCAUAAUUGCCACAAAAAAGAAUAAAAUACCCAGGAAUGCAGCUAACCAAGGAAGUAAAGGAUCUCUACAAUGAGAAUCACAAACGCUGCUCAAAGAAAUCAGAGAUGACACAAACAAAUGGAAAAACUUUCCAUGCUCAUGGCUAGGAAGAAUCAAUAUCAUUAAAGUGGCCAUACUACCCAAAGCAAUUUAUAGAUUCAAUGCUAUUCCUAUCAAACUAUCAAUUACAUUUUUCACAGAACUAGAAAAAACUUAAAAUUCAUAUGGAACCAAAAAGCCUGAGUAGUCAAGGCAAUCCUAAACAAAAAGAACAAAGGUGGAGGCAUCACAUUACCUAACUUCAAACUACAGGGCUACCAUGACCAAAACAGCAUGGUACUGGUACAAAAGCAGACACACAGACCAGUGGGACAGAAUAGAGAGCCCAAAAAUAAGGCCACAAACCUACAGCCAUCUGAUCUUCAACAAAGUUGACAAAAACAAGCAAUGGGGAAAGGUCUCCCUAUUCAAUAAAUGGUGCUGGGAUAACUGGCUGGCCAUAUGCAGAAGAUCGUAACUGGACCCCUUUUACUAUGUACAAAAAUUAAGAUGGUUUAAAGAGUUAAAACCCAAAAUUAUAAAAAUCCUGAAGAUAACUUAGGCAAUACCAUUCUGGACAUAGGAACUGGCAAAUAUUUCAUGAUGAAGACACCAAAAGCAAUUGUAACAAAAGCAAAAAUGGACAAAUUGGAUUUAAGAGCUUUUUCAUAGCAAAAUAAACAACAGGGCAGACAAUCUACCAAAUGACAGAAAAUUUUUGCAAACUAUGCAUCUGACAAGGGGCUAAUAUCUAGCAUCUAUAAGGAAUUUAAACACAGUUACAGGAAAAAAAAAACCCACUCCAUUAAAAAAUGGGCAAAGGACAUGAACAGACACUUUUCAAAAAAGACAUACAUACAGCCAACUAGCGUGUUAAAGAAAACCUCAAUUAUCACUGAUCAUUAGAGAAAUGCAAAAUCAAAACCAUGAUGAGAUAUCAUCUGCCAGUCAGGAUGGCUACAAAAAAGUAAAAAAAUAAUAGAUGUUGGUGAGGUUAUGGAGAAAAGGAACUUAUACACUUGUUAGGAGUGUAAAUUAGUUCAAUCACUGUGGACAGCAGUGUGGUGAUUCCUCAGAGAGCUAAAAACAACUACCAUUUGACUCACCAAUCCCAUUACUGGAUAUUUACCUAAAGGAAUAUAAAUCAUUCCACCAUAAAGACACAUGCAAGUGUAUGUUCAUUGCAGCACUAUUAACAGUAACAAAGCUGGGCACAGUGGCUCACCUCACGACUGUAAUCCCAGCACUUUGGGAGGCUGAGGUAGGCGGAUCACCUGAGGUCGGCAGUUUGAGACCAGCCUGACCAACAUGGAGAGACCCCAUCUCUACUAAAAAUACAAAAUUAGCCAGGUGUGGUGGCUCAUGCCUGUAAUCCCAGCUACUUGGGAGGCCAAGGCAGGAGAAUUGCUUGAACCCAGGAGGCAGAGGUUGCAGUGAGCCGAGAUCACACCAUUGCACUCUAGCCUGGUGAAGGAGCAAGACUCCAUCUCAAAAAAAAAAAAAAAAAAGAAAGAAAGAAAAAUACACAUUCAGAGGAGACAAAAAAUAAAAAACAAUGAUGCAUGCCCACAGGAUCUAGAAAAUAACUUCUUAAGGGCAAAUCUAGGAGUUAUUGGCCUUAAAGAAGAGAUAGAGAAAGAGAUAGGAAUAGAAAGUUUGUUGAAAGGGAUAAUAACAUAGAACUUCCUAAACCUACAGAAAGAUAUUUAUAUCCAAGUACAAGAAGGUUAUAGAACACCAGGCCAAUUUAACCCAAAGAUUACCUCAAGGCAUUUAAUAAUCAAACUCCCACAGGACAAGGGUAAAGAAAGGAUCCUAAAAGCAGCAAGAGAAAAGAAACAGAUAACAUACAAUGGAGCUCCAAUACAUCUGGCAGUAUAUUUUUCAGUGGAAACCUUACAAGCCAGGAGAGAGUGACAUGACAUAUGUUAAAGUGCUGAAGGGAAAAAACCUUUUACCCUAGAAUAGUAUAUCCAGCAAAAAUAUCCUUCAAACAUGAAGAAUAAACAAAGACUUCCCCAGACAAACAAAAGCUGAGGGAUUUCAUCAACACUAGACUGGUCCCAUAAGAAACGCUUAAGGGAGUACUUUGGUCAGAAAGAAACAGACAUUAAUGAGCAACAAAGAAUCAUCUAAAGGUAAAAAACUCACUGUUAAGAGUAAGUACACAGAAAAACCCAAAGUGUGAUAACAUUGUAACUGUGGUGUGUAAGUAGAAAGAAUAAAUGAUAAACCAAUCAAAAAUAGUAACUACAACUUUUCAAGACCAGUCAGAAAAAUAAGAUAAAAUUAGAAACAACAAAAAGUUAAAAAGUGGGGGGAUGAAGUUAAGAUGUAGAGUUUUUAUUAGUUUUUUGUUUGUUAAUGCAAACAGUGUUACCAGGUUAAAAUAAUGGGUUACAAAAUAGUAUUUGUAAUCCUUAUGGUAACCUCAAACCUAAAAACAUACACUGGAUACAUAAAAAAUAAAAAGCAAAAACCUAAAUCAUAUCACCAGAGCAAACUACCUUCCCUAAAGGAAGACAGGAAGAAAAGAAAGAAGAAGACCACAAAACAACCAGAAAACAAAUAAAUAACAAGGCAGGAGUAAGUCUUUACUUAUCGAUAAUACAUUGAAUGGAAAUAUGGACUAAACUCUCCAAUCAAAAGACAUAGACUGGCUGAAUGAAUGGAGAAAACAAGACCCAUUGAUCUGUUGCCUACAAGAAACACACUUAAACUAUAAAGACACACAUAGGCUGAAAGUAAAGAGUUGGAAAGAGUUAUUCCAUGCCAAUGGAAACCAGGAAAAAGAGAAGGAGUAUUGAUUUUGAUACAAAAACUAUGAGACAAAUAAAGUCACUAUACAAUGAUAAAGGGGUUAAUAUGGUUUCCAUUUGUGCCCCACCCAAAUUUCGUGUUCUAUUGUAAUCCUCAAUGUUGGAGGUGGGGCCUGGUGGGACGUGAUUAGAUCAUGGGGGUGGAUCUUUCAUGACUAAUUCAGCACCAUCUUCUUAGUGCUGUUCUCAUGAUAGUGAGUUCUUCUGAAAUCUGGUUGCUUAAAAGUGUGUAGCACCUCUCCACACCACCCGCUUGCCUUGGUCUACUCCUGCUAUGUAGAUGCUUGCUCCCACUUUGCAUUAUUCCAUGAGUAAAAGCUCCCUCAGGCCUUCCCAGAAUCAGAUGCCGCUAUGCUUCCUGAACAGCCUGUGGAACUAUGAGCCAAUUCAACCUCUUUUCUUCAUAAAUUAACAAGUCUUGGGUAUUUCUUUAUAGCAGUGUGAGAACAGAAUAAUACAGAAAAUUGGUAAAGAGGAGUGAGGCAUUGCUAGAAAGAUACCUGAAAAUGUGGAAACAGCAGUGGAACUGGGAAAUAGACAGAGGUUGGAAGAGUGUGGAGGGCUCCGAAGAUAGGAAGAUGAGGGGAAGUUUGGAAUUUCUUAGAGAUUUGUUAAAUUGUUUUGACCAAAAUACUGAUGGUGAUAUGGACAAUGAAGUCCAGGCUGAGGAGGUCUCAGAUGGAGAUGAGGGACUUAUUGGGACCUGGAGUGAAGGUCACUUUUGUUAGGACAUUGUGGUUGGAGACAUUGUGCCCCUGCCCUAGGAAUCUGUGGAACUUUGAACUUGAGAGCGAAGAUUUAGGGUAUCUGGCAGAAGAAAUUUCUAAGCAGCAAAGCGUUCAAGACGUGGCCUGGCUGCUUCUGGUAGUCUGUGCUCAUAUUUGUGAGCAAAGACAUGACAAGAAACUGGAACUUAUAUUUAAAAAGGAAGCAGAGUGUAAAAGUUUGGAGAAUUUGCAGCCUGGCCAUGUUGUAGAAAAGAAAAAAACCAUUUUCUGGAGAGGAAUUCAAGCUAGCUGCAGAAAAUUGCAAGUAACAAGGAGCAAAAUGUUGAUAGCCAAGAUAGUGGGAAAAACACCUUGAAGGCAUUUCAGAUACCUUGGGGGCAGCCUCUCCCAUCACAGGCCCAAAGGCCUAGGAGGGAAGGAUGGUUUCCUGGGCCAGGCUCAGGGUCCUGCUGCCCUGCACAACCUCAGGAAACUGCUCUCCAAAUCCCAGCUGCUCCAGCUCCAGCUUCAGCUCAAAGGGCCCCAGGUAUAGCUCAGGCUGCUGCUCCAUAGGAUGCAAGUUAUAAGCCUUAGUGGCUCCCGUGUGGUGUUAAAUUAAGCCUGUAGGUGCACAGAGUGCAAGAAUUGAGGCUUGGGAGCCUCCAACUAGAUUUCAGAGUAUGUGUGGGAAAGCCUGGAUGUCCAGGCAGAAGCCAGCUGCAGGGACAGAGCCCUCAUGGAGAACCUCUACUAGGGUAGUGUGGAGGGGAAAUUUGGGGUUGGAGUUCCCACACAGCUUCCCCUCUGGUGUACUGCCUAGUGGAGCUGUGAGAAGACAGCCACUGUCCUCCAGAUUCCAGGAUGAUAGAUCUGCCAAUGACAGCUUGCACUGUACAACUGGAAAAGCCACAGGCAGUCAAUGCCAGCCCGUGAAAGCAGUGACAGUGGCUUACCCUGCAAAGUCCCAGGGGCUGAGCUGCCCAAGGCCUUGGGAGCCCACCCCUUGCACCAGUGUGCCCUGGAUGUGAGAUAUGGAGUCAAAGGAGAGUAUUUUGGAGCUUUAAGAUUUAAUGACUACCUGCUGGGUUUCAGACUUGCAUGGGUCCAGUAGCCCCUUUCUUUUGGCCAAUUUCUCACUUUUGGAAUGGGAGUGUUUACCCAAUUCCUGUACCCCCACUGUAUGUUGGAAGUAACUAACUGUUUUUUUAUUUUGUAAGCUCACAGGUGGGAGAGACUUGCCUUGUCUCAGGUUGAGACUCUGGACUUUGGACUUUUGAAUUAAUGCUGGAAUGAGUUAAGACUUUGAGGGACUGUUGGGAAGAUAUAACUGUAUUUUGCAGUAUGAGAAGGACAUGAGAUUUGGGAGACACCAGAGGUGGAAUAAUAUGAUUUGGAUCUGCAUCCCCACCAAAAUCUCAUGUUCAAUUGUAAUCCUAAAUUUUGGAGGUUGAGCCUGGUGGAAGAGGAUUGGAUAAUGGGGGUGGUUUCUCAUGGUUUAACACCAUCCCCCUGGGUGCUGUUCUCAUGACAGUGAGUGAGUUAUUGUGAGAUCUGAUUGUUUAAAAGUGUGUGCCACCUCCUCCCACUUUCCUCCUGCUCCAGCCAUGUAAGACAGGCUUGCCUCCCCUUCACCUUUUGUCAUGAUUGUAAGUGUUCUGAGGCCUCCCCAGCCAUGCUUCCUGUACAGCCUGCAGAACUGUGAGCCAAUUAAACCUCUUUUCUCUAUAUAUUACCCAGUCUCGGGUAUUUCUUUAUAGCAGUGCAAGAAUAGACUAAUACAGGGUUCAAUUCAGCAAGAGGAUAUAACAAAUAUAAAUAUAUAUGCACUCAACACUGCAGCACCCAGAUAUAUAAAGCAAAUACGAUUAGAGCUAAAGAGAGAGAGUGACCCCAAUACAAUAAUAGCUGGAGACUUCAACACCACAUUUUCAGCACUGGACAGAUCUUCCAGACAGAAAAUAAAAAAGAAACAUCAGACUUAAUCUGCACUGUAGAUCAAAUGGAUCUAAUACAUACUUGCAGAACAUUUUAUCCAAUGGCUGCAGAAUACACAUUCUUUUUUAGCACAUGUAUCAUUCUCAAGGAUAGACCAUAUGUUAGGUCACAAGUCUUAAAACAUUAAAAAAGUUGAAUACCAUCAAGCAUCUUCUCUGACCACAGUGGAAUACAACUAGAAACUAAUAACAAGAGGAAUUUUUGAAACUACAAAUACAUGAAAAUUAAACAAUAUGCUCCUGAAUGACCAUUGAGUCAAUGAAGAAAUUAAGAAGGAAAUUGAACAAUUUCUUGAAACAAAUGAUAAAGGAAACACAACAUACCAAAACCUAUGGGAUACGGCAAAAGCAGUACUAAGAGGCAAAUUGAUAGCUAUAAGUGCCUACAUGAAAAAAGAGGAAAAACUUCAAAUAAGCAAUUUAACAAUGAACCUUAACCAGAAAAGCAAGAGCAAAACAAACACAAAAUUAGAAGAAAACAAAUAAUAAAAAUUAGAGCAUAAAUAAAUAAAAUUGAAAUAAAAAUCAAUGCAAAAGAACAAUGAAACAAAAAGUUGCUUUUUUUCAAAAGUUAAACAAAACUGACAAGCCUUUAGCAAGACUGAGAAAAAAGAGACAAGAUACAAAUCAGAAAUGAAAAAGACAUUACAACUGACACUGCAGAAAUUCAAAGGAUCAUUAGGGGCUACUAUGAGCAACUCUAUGCCAAUAAAUUGGAAAAUCUAGAAGAAAUUGACAAUUCCUAGACACAUACAACCUACUGAGACUGGACCAGGAAGAAAUCCAAAACCUGAACAGACUAAUAACAAGUAACAAGGUUGAAGCCAUAAUAAAAAGUCUCCCACUAAAGAAAACCAAGGACCCGAUGGCUUCACUGUUGAAUUCUACCAAACAUUUAAAGAAGAACUAAUACCAAUCCCACUCAAGCUAUUGAAAAAUAGAGGAGGAGAGAAUAUUUCCAAAGUCAUUCUAGGAGACCAGUAUCACCCUGAUACCAAAACCAGACAAAGACACAUCAAAAAAAGAAAACUGCUGGCCAAUUUCUCUGAUGAAUAUUGAUGCCAGAAUCCUCAGCAAAAUAUUAGCAAACUAAAUUCAACAAUACAUUAAAAAGAUCAUUCAUCAGGGUCGGGUGCAGUGGCUUAAGCCUCUAAUCCCAGCACUUUGGGAGGCCGAGGUGGGCAGAUCACCUGAGGUCAGGAGUUCAAGACCAGCCUGACCAACAUGGUGAAACCUCGUCUCUACUGAAAAUACAAAAUUAGCCGAGUGUGGUGGUGCAUGCCUGUAAUCCCAGCUACUCAGGAGACUGAGGCAGGAGAAUCACUUGAACCCAGGAGGUGGAGGUUGCAGUGAGCUGAGAUUGUGGCACUGCACUCCAGCCUUGGUGACAGAGUGAGACUCCAUUAAAAAAAAAAUCAUUUAUCAUGACCAAGUGGGAUUUAUCCCUGGAAUGCAAGGAUGGUUCAACACAUGCAAAUCAAUCAAUGUAAUACAUCAUAUCAAAAAGAAUGAUUAAAACCAUAUGAUUAUUUCUAUUGAUGCUGAAAAAGUAGUUUAUAAAAUCCAACAUCCCUUCAUGAUAAAAACCCUCAAAAAACUGUAUAAAAGAAAUAUACCUCAACGUAAUAGCCAGAUAUGACAGACCCACAGCUAGUAUCAUACUGAAUGGGGAAAAAGUGAAAGACUUUCCUAUAAGAUCUGGAACACAACAGGGAUGUUCACUGUCACCACUGUUAUUCAACAAAGUACUGGAUGUUCUAGCUAGAGCGAUCAGACAAGAGAAGAUAUAAAGGCCAUCCAAACUGGAAAGGGAGAAGUUAAAUUACCCUAGUUUGCAGAUGAUAUGAACUUAUAUUUGGAAAAAACCUAAAGGCUCCACAGGAAAACUAUUAGAAUCAAUAAAUUCAGUAAAGUUGCAGGACACAAAAUCAACAUAUAAAAACCAGUAGCAUUUCUAUAUGUCAACAGUGAACAAUUUGAAAAAUUUUAAAUUUAAGAAGGUAAUUUCAUUUACAAUAGCCACACAUAAAAUUAAAUACCUAGGAAUUAACCAAAAAUGUGCAAGAUAUCUAUGAGGAGAAUUAUAAAACAUUGAUGAAAGAAAUUGAAGAGGACACAAAAAAAAUGGAAAAAAUUCCAUCUUUAUGGAUUGGAAGAAUCAAUAUUGUUAAAAUGUCCAUACUACCCAAAGCAAUCUACAGAUUUAAUGCAAUCCCUAUCAAAAUACCAAUAAUAGUCUUCAGAGAAAUAGAAAAAAAAAUCCCAAAAUUUAUAUGAAAACACAGAAUGCCCAGAAUAGCCAAAAUUAUAUUAAGCAAAAAGAUCAAAACUGGAGGAAUCACAUUACCUGACUUCAAAUUAUGCUACAGAGCUAUAAUCACCAAAACAGCAUGGUACUGACAUAAAAACAGACACAUAGUCCAACAGAACAGAAUAGAGAACCUAGAAACAAAUCCACACACUCACAGGGAACUCAUUUUUGACAGAGUUGCCAAGUACUUAUACUGGAGAAAAGAAAAGACAGUCUCUUCAAUGAAAUGGUGCUGGGAAAACUGGAUAUCCAUAUGCAGAAGAAUGAAACUAGACCCCUACCUCUCACUGUAGACAAAAGUCAAAUCAAGGCUAGGCAUGGUGGCUUACACCUGUAAUCUCAGCACUUUGGGAGGCUGAGGCAGGCGUAUCACGAGGUGAAGAGAUUGAGACCAUCCUGACCAACAUGGUGAAACUCACCCCCCCCCACCCACUAAAAAUACAAAAAUUAGCUGGGCGUGAUGGCAUGUGCCUGCAGUCCUAGCUACUCAGGAGGCUGGGGCAGGAGAAUCGCUUGAACCCAGGAGGUGGAGGUUGCAGUGAGCUGAGAUUGUGCCACUGCACUCCAGCCUGGCGACAGAGCAAGACUCCAUCUCAAAAAAUAAAAAAUAAAUUCAAAAUGUAAUAAAGACUUAAAUCUAAGACCUCAAACAUGAAACUACUAUAAGAAAACAUUGGGGAAAACCUCCAGGACAGUAGUCUGGCCAAAAAUUUCUUGAGCAAUACCCCACAAGCACAGGCAACCAAAAUAAAACUGGACAAAUAGUAUCACAUCAAGUUUAAAAGCUUCUACAAAGCAAAGGAUACAAUCAAUAAAGAGACAACCCACAGAAUGGGAGAAAAUAUUUGCAAACUACCCAUCUGACAAAGAAAUAAUAACCAGAGUAUAUAAGAAGCUCAAACAACUCUAUAGUAAAAAAAAAAAAAAAAAAAAUUCUAAAAGUCUAAGUAAAAAAAUGGGCAAAAGAUUUGAAUAGACAUUUCUCAAAAGAAGACAUACAGGCCAUGCGUGGUGGCUCAUGCCUGUAAUCCCAGCACUUUGGGAGGCCCAGGCGGGUGGAUCACUUGAGGUCAGGAGUUCGAGACCAGCCUGACCAACAUUGUGAAACUCCGUCUCUACUAAAAAUACAAAAAUAAGCCAGGCAUGGUGGCGCACACCUGUAAUCCCAGCUACUCAGGAGGCUGAGGCAGGAGAAUCGCUUAAACCUGGGAGACAGAGGUUGCAGUAAGCCGAGAUCACACCACUGCACUCCAGCCUGGGCAACAAAGUGAGACUCCGUCUCACAAAAAAAAAAAAAAAAAAAAAAAAAAAAGAAAAGAAAAAGGAAGAAGACAUACAAAGCCAGGUACAGUGGCUUAUGCCUCUAAUCCUAGCACUUUAGGAGGCCAAGGCAGAUGGAAUUGAGCCCAGAAGUUUGAGACCAGACUGAGCAAUAUGGUCAAACCCCAAUUCUGCAAAAUACAAAAAUAAAAAAUAGCUGGGAGUGGUGGUGCACACCUGUAGUCCCAGCUACUUAGGAAGCUGAGAUGGGAGGAUCACUUGAGCCUGCAGUGAAUCAUAAUUGCACCAAUGCACUCCAGCCUGGGCGACAGAGUGAGAGACAUUGUCUCAAAAAAAAGAAAAAGAAAAAAAAGAAAGGACAUAAAAAUGACAAACAGGCAUAUGAAAAGGUGCUGAUGAUUAUUGAUCCUCAGAGAAAUGCAAAUCAAAACUGCAAUGAGAUAUAAUCUCACCCCAGUUAAAAUGGCUUAUAUCCAAAAGACAGGCAAUAACAAAUGCUGGUGAGGAUGUGGAUAAAAGGGAACCCUCGUACACUGUUGAUGGGAAUGUAAAUUAGUACAACCACUAUGGAUAACAGUUUAGAGGUUCCUCAGAAAACUAAAAAUUGAGUUGCGAUAUGAUGCAACAAUCCUACUGCUGGGUAUAUACCCCACAAAAGACAAAACCAGCGUUUUGCAUGGUGGCUCACACCUGUAAUCCCAGCACUAUGGGAGGCCGAGGAGGGCAGAUCACUUGAGCCCAGAAGUUCAAGACCAGCCCGAGCAACAUGGCAAAACCUGAUUUCUACAAAAUACAAAAAAAAAAUUAGGCAGUUGUAGUGGUUCACACCUAUAGUCCUAGCUACUGUGGAGGCUGAGGUAGGAUCACUUGAACCUAGGAGGUGGAGGUUGCAGUGAGCCAAGAUCAUGCCACUGCACUCCAGCCUGGGUGACAAAGUGUGACCCUGUCUCAAAAAAGAAAAUCAGUAUAUGGAAGAGGUAUCUGCACUCCUAUGUUUUUUACAACACUGUUUACAAUAGCUAAGAUUUGGAAGCAACCUAAAUGUCUAACAGCAGAUGAAUGGAUAAGGAAAAUUUGGUAUGUAUACACAAUGAAGUACUAUUCAGCCAUAAAAAGGAAUGAGAUCCAGUCAUUUGCAACAGCAUGGAUGGAAGUGGAGAUCAUUAUGUUAAAUGAAAUAAGCCAGGCACAGAAAGGCAAACAUGGCAUGUUCUCACUUAUUUGUGGGACCUAAAUUCAAAACAAUUGAACUAAUGGACAUAAAGAGUAGAAGAAUGGUUACCAGAGGCUAGGAAUGGUAGUGGGGGGCUGAAGGGAAGGUGGGGAUGUUUAAUCGGUAAAAAAAAAUUUAGAAGAAUAAGACCUACUAUUUGAUAGCACAAUAGGGGGACUAUAGUCAAUAAUGCACAUUUAAAAAUAGUGUAAUUGAAUGGUUUGUAACUCAAAGGAUAAAUGCUUGAGGGAAUGGAUACCCCAUUCUCCAUGAUGUGCUUAUUUCACAUUGCAUACCUGUAUCAAAACAUCUCAUGUACCCCAUAAAUAUAUGCAGCUAUUAUGUACCCAC